GGACCCGCACAAGUAGUGGAGCAUGUGGUUUAAUUCGAAGAUACGCGCAGAACCUUACCAACACUUGACAUGUUCGUCGCGACUUUAAGAGAUUAAAGUUUUCGGUUCGGCCGGACGAAACACAGGUGCUGCAUGGCUGUCGUCAGCUCGUGUCGUGAGAUGUUGGGUUAAGUCCCGCAACGAGCGCAACCCUCACUUUUAGUUGCCAUCAUUAAGUUGGGCACUCUGAAAGAACUGCCAGUGAUAAGCUGGAGGAAGGUGGGGAUGACGUCAAGUCCUCAUGGCCCUUACGUGUUGGGCUACACACGUGCUACAAUGGUAUCUACAACAGGAAGCAAGACGGCGACGUUAAGCAAAUCCUUAAAAACUGUCCCAGUUCGGAUUGCACUCUGCAACUCGAGUGCAUG
rnacentral:rRNA from 1 species